rnacentral:rRNA from 1 species
UACGGAGGGUGCAAGCGUUAUCCGGAUUCACUGGGUUUAAAGGGUGCGUAGGCGGACAGGUAAGUCAGUGGUGAAAUCUCUGGGCUUAACCCAGAAACUGCCGUUGAUACUAUUUGUCUUGAAUAUCCUGGAGGUAGGCGGAAUAUGUCAUGUAGCGGUGAAAUGCUUAGAUAUGACAUAGAACACCAAUUGCGAAGGCAGCUUACUACACAGUCAUUGACACUGAGGCACGAAAGCGUGGGGAUCAAACAGG